AUUGAACGCUGGCGGCAUGCCUUACACAUCAAAGUCGAACGGCAGCACGGGAGCAAUCCUGGUGACGAGUGGCGAACGGGUGAGUCAUAUAUCGGAACGUGCCCAGGAGUUGGGGAUAACUGCUCGAAAGAGCAGCUAAUACCGCAUACGACCUGGGGGUGAAAGGGGGGGCUCGCAAGACCUCUCGCUAUCGGAGCGGCCGAUAUCAGAGUAGCUACUUGGUGGGGUACAGGCCUACCAAGGCAAGGGUCUGUAGGUGGUCUGAGAGGACGACCAGCCACACUGGGACUGGGACACGGCCCAGGCUCCUACGGGAGGCAGCAGUGGGGAAUUUUGGACAAUGGGCGCAAGCCAGAUCCAGCAAUGCCGCGUGCAGGAAGAAGGCCUUCGGGUUGUAAACUGCUUUUGUCAGGGAAGAAAUCCUCUAGGUUAAUACCCUUGGGGGGAUGACGGUACCUGAAGAAUAAGCACCGGCUAACUACGUGCCAGCAGCCGCAGUAACAC
rnacentral:rRNA from 1 species